rnacentral:tRNA from 1 species
UCCCUGAUAGUCCAGUGGUUGGAACUCUGGGCUUCCAAUGCAGGGGGCAAGGGUUUGAUCCCUGGUCAGGGAA